ensembl:lncRNA
UGUGUGUGUGUGUGUGUGUGUGUGUGUGUGUGUGUGUGUGUGUGUGUGUGUGUGUGUGUGUGUGAUUGAUACAUAAAAGAGAAAAUGCAAAAGACAUCAACAUAAUAGUAUGAGGUAUUACUUGCAGAAUAUUGCGAAUAUUUAGAAAAGUUAAGUAGCUACCUCAUCCUGCUUUGUGAUGUAGCCUACGCUAGCUAUCCCCAGUAAGAUCCUACUUCGCAACGUCUAGGUAUGAGUUACAUUUGGUAAGUAUUGAGUUACAUUUGGUUAGUUUUGAGUUACAUUUGGUUAGUUUUGAGUUACAUUUGCUUAGUUUUGAGUUACAUUUGCUUAGUUUUGAGUUACAUUUGGUUAGUUCUGAGUUAGAAGGUGGAGGGGGGGUUCUACUAUGCUAACAUAUGGAAUUGUUUUAAGAUGGUCAUACCAAGGAUCAUUUAGCUUUUUGAUUUAGAAUUUUAGGACCCCUUUCGGUAUAAAAAAAUAUAUAUAUUUAUUUUUAGGAUAAAAUAUUGAAUUUGGGCUUUACUACUAUAGCCCAUAGACAUGCAUUGAAUAAGACGUUCAGAAAACGGCAAAAAAUACACCCCCCCAAUUUUUUAAAUAAUAAUAAUAAUAAAAAAUAAAUAAAUAAAUAAAUAAUAAUAAAAAUAAAAAUAAUAAUAAUAAUAAAAAAAUAAUAAUAAUAAUAAAAUAAUAAUAAAAAAUAAAAAUAAAAAUAAUAAUAAUAAAAAUAAGGAGUACGGUUUUGAGGUGUCUGUCGUAUAUCGGAGAUUCAAGAAAGCUCAGGAAAUAUUUUAGUUUGGACACAUUGAACCCCUUAUUUUUGUUGACACAAAACUACCUUCAUGCUUCCAUUCAUUUGUAUGGGUCACCAAAACGGAGAAUUAACUCCAUGCUUCCAUUCAUUUGUAUGGGUUACCAAAACGGAGAAUUAACUCCAUGCUUCCAUUCAUUUGUAUGGGUUACCUUCCAAAGAGUCCCUUGACACUUGUGGGGGUUGUAGAGCAAAACUCAUGAGAGUCUCUCCAUAUUAGUUUAAAUCCCAAACGGUUCAGACGCUACAGACAGAAAUAGGAACAUCAGAAGACCGGUUAUUUUUUCUUCUUGCGGUCUGACCAACACCGCUGUCGCUCUGCCACUUUCAACUGCAGAUAUCUGUAGCUUUAAACUCACAGAUUUUGAUGGGGAUUUUUUAAAAAUUAUGUUCAUUAGACUGGUGCGUCAAUACUCUUUUAAGGAUUAAAAGUUUAGUGAAAAAAAAUAUGAAUUUCCCGUACGUUGGUGAUUUUUUGCAAAUCCAAUCAGUUUUCUACAUUGAUUCAUUGUCAUCUAAUUAAAUAUUGUGGUUGAAUUGACGUGGAAACAACGUUGAUUCAACCAGUUUUUGCCCAGUGGGAUAGUUGACUCGUUUUCACUUGUUGUUUCUGUGCUUGUUGUGUUUUCCCCUUCAUCUAUCAGUCAACGUCACCGGUAGCUCUUUCUAACUGAUGGUAAUCUGGUAAUCUGUUCAAAUCACUGGUAGCUCUUUCUAACUGAUGGUAAUCUGGUAAUCUGUUCAAAUCACUGGUAGCUCUUUGUAAUUGAUGGUAAUCUGGUAAUCUGUUCAAAUCACUGGUAGCUCUUUCUAACUGAUGGUAAUCUGGUAAUCUGUUCAAAUCACUGGUAGCUCUUUGUAAUUGAUGGUAA